CCAAGCCCAUCGGGAAGUUGGCUCUGAAAGCCAUAAAGGGCUGUUGAUCCUCAGGGAGUUGGGACGCAGGCUUUACUUGCAUGUUUGCUGUGACAACGGAUGGUCCUACCAGCAGGAGGCAAGGAACACAGGAUUUGUCGCCAUGACCCAGAUGUAAAUCUGAUGAAAACAGAUCUUCCCUCAAGUCACCUGGAGUCAGGUAGGGGAGAGAA